rnacentral:rRNA from 1 species
AGUGAACGCUGGCGGUAGGCCUAACACAUGCAAGUCGAACGGCAGCACAGUAAGAGCUUGCUCUUACGGGUGGCGAGUGGCGGACGGGUGAGGAAUACAUCGGAAUCUACUUUUUCGUGGGGGAUAACGUAGGGAAACUUACGCUAAUACCGCAUACGACCUACGGGUGAAAGCAGGGGAUCUUCGGACCUUGCGCGAUUGAAUGAGCCGAUGUCGGAUUAGCUAGUUGGCGGGGUAAAGGCCCACCAAGGCGACGAUCCGUAGCUGGUCUGAGAGGAUGAUCAGCCACACUGGAACUGAGAAACGGUCCAGACUCCUACGGGAGGCAGCAGUGGGGAAUAUUGGACAAUGGGCGCAAGCCUGAUCCAGCCAUACCGCGUGGGUGAAGAAGGACUUCGGGUUGUAAAGCCCUUUUGUUGGGAAAGAAAAGCAGCAGGUUAAUACCCCGCUGUUCUGACGGUACCCAAAGAAUAAGCACCGGCUAACUUCGUG